UAGCUAGUUGGUGAGGUAACGGCUUACCAAGGCGACGAUCUGUAGCGGGUCUGAGAGGAUGAUCCGCCACACUGGAACUGAGACACGGUCCAGACUCCUACGGGAGGCAGCAGUGGGGAAUUUUGGACAAUGGGGGCAACCCUGAUCCAGCCAUGCCGCGUGAGUGAAGAAGGCCUUCGGGUUGUAAAGCUCUUUCGGCCGGGAAGAAAUCGCAUGGGCCAAUACCCUGUGUGGAUGACGGUACCGGAAUAAGAAGCACCGGCUAACUACGUGCCAGCAGCCGCGGUAAUACGUAGGGUGCGAGCGUUAAUCGGAAUUACUGGGCGUAAAGCGUGCGCAGGCGGUUUUGUAAGACAGGCGUGAAAUCCCCGGGCUCAACCUGGGAACUGCGUUUGUGACUGCAAGGCUAGAGUACGGCAGAGGGGGGUGGAAUUCCACGUGUAGCAGUGAAAUGCGUAGAGAUGUGGAGGAACACCAAUGGCGAAGGCAGCCCCCUGGGUCGAUACUGACGCUCAUGCACGAAAGCGUGGGUAGCAAACAGGAUUAGAUACCCUGGUAGUCCACGCCCUAAACUAUGUCAACUAGGUGUUGGGUGGGUAAAACCAUUUAGUACCGUAGCUAACGCGUGAAGUUGACCGCCUGGGGAGUACGGCCGCAAGGUUAAAACUCAAAGGAAUUGACGGGGACCCGCACAAGCGGUGGAUGAUGUGGAUUAAUUCGAUGCAACGCGAAAAACCUUACCUACCCUUGACAUGCCAGGAACUUGCCAGAGAUGGCUUGGUGCCCGAAAGGGAGCCUGGACACAGGUGCUGCAUGGCUGUCGUCAGCUCGUGUCGUGAGAUGUUGGGUUAAGUCCCGCAACGAGCGCAACCCUUGUCGUUAAUUGCCAUCAUUUAGUUGGGCACUUUAGCGAGACUGCCGGUGACAAACCGGAGGAAGGUGGGGAUGACGUCAAGUCCUCAUGGCCCUUAUGGGUAGGGCUUCACACGUCAUACAAUGGUCGGUACAGAGGGUCGCCAAGCCGCGAGGUGGAGCCAAUCCCAGAAAGCCGAUCGUAGUCCGGAUUGCAGGCUGCAACUCGCCUGCAUGAAGUCGGAAUCGCUAGUAAUCGUGGAUCAGCAUGUCACGGUGAAUACGUUCCCGGGUCUUGUACACACCGCCCGUCACACCAUGGGAGCGGGUUCCGCCAGAAGUAGGUAGCCUAACCGCAAGGAGGGCGCUUACCACGGCGGGGUUCGUGACUGGGGUGAAGUCGAAACAAGGUAGCCGUAGGGACCUGCGGCUG
rnacentral:rRNA from 1 species